CUAGAGUCAGCAUCUUCUAUCAGUGGAAAAAUACUAAAUUAUUCUCUUUAUUUCUUGUAGCUGUUCUAAAGAAAUCCAAAUGGCAGUUCUGCUGAAAUUUGUUUCAGAAGGGGACAAUAUCCCAGAUGCAUUAGGUCUUGUUGAGUAUCUUAAUGAAUGGCUUCAAAUAAUCAAACCAUGUAGUGAUGGUCCCACGGCAUCUACCUUGAGGUGGAAGAUACCAAGUUCUUGGAGAUUACUCUUUGGCAGCGGUCUUCCCCCUGCACUUUUUUGAUGUAUUUUCAGUUUUUGUACCUUAUAUACCAAGACACUUAUUAUCAACACAACUGCUUAACAUUGUGUACAAAAAUUUGUAUAAUCUGAGAAUGUAUUAGGAAAUAAAUACUUGUUUUUCACAGAAAAUCUCAAAAAAAAAGGAUUAACACAAGGUCUUUUUGCCAUGCUUUUCAUCAUAUACAACAAAUGUAAAUUUUGUACAAUAAAAUUUUAUUUCCCAAGUAA